AUUGAACGCUGGCGGAAUGUUUUACACAUGCAAGUCGAGCGGCAGCGCGGGGCAACCUGGCGGCGAGCGGCGAACGGGUGAGUAAUGCAUCGGAACGUACCCAGUCGUGGGGGAUAACUGUCCGAAAGGACAGCUAAUACCGCAUACGUCCUGAGGGAGAAAGCGGGGGAUCGCAAGACCUCGCGCGAUUGGAGCGGCCGAUGCCGGAUUAGCUAGUUGGUAGGGUAAAGGCCUACCAAGGCGACGAUCCGUAGCUGGUCUGAGAGGACGACCAGCCACACUGGAACUGAGACACGGUCCAGACUCCUACGGGAGGCAGCAGUGGGGAAUUUUGGACAAUGGGGGCAACCCUGAUCCAGCCAUUCCGCGUGAGUGAAGAAGGCCUCGGUUG
rnacentral:rRNA from 1 species